AGAGUUUGAUCCUGGCUCAGAACGAACGUUGGCGGCGUGGAUUAGGCAUGCAAGUCGAACGAAUCCCACUGGUGUAGCAAUACAUUGGUGGGGGAAGUGGCGAAAGGGGCAGUAAUGUAUGGGUAACCUACCCGGGGGUCGUGGAUAGCCGCCCUAACGGACGGGUAAUACAUGGCGAUUCGGCGAGGCGGCAUCGCUUUGCCGGGAAAGAAUUUCGCCUCCGGAGGGGCUCAUAUCGUAUUAGCUAGUUGGUGAGGUAACGGCUCACCAAGGCAAAGAUGCGUAGCGGGUGUGAGAGCACGACCCGCGCCACUGGCACUGAGACACUGGCCAGACACCUACGGGUGGCUGCAGUCGAGGAUCUUCGGCAAUGGGCGCAAGCCUGACCGAGCGACGCCGCGUGAAGGAUGAAGGCCUUCGGGUUGUAAACUUCUGUCGAGGGGGACCAAAGCCCGCAAGGGUUUGAGAGAUCCCUGGAGGAAGCACGGGCUAAGUUCGUGCCAGCAGCCGCGGUAAGACGAACCGUGCGAACGUUGUUCGGAAUCACUGGGCAUAAAGGGCGCGUAGGCGGCUUAUCAAGUCAGGGGUGAAAUCCGGCAGCUCAACUGUCGAAGUGCCCUUGAUACUGAUGAGCUCGAGGGAGGUAGGGGUGUGCGGAACUUCCGGUGGAGCGGUGAAAUGCGUUGAUAUCGGAAGGAACGCCGGUGGCGAAAGCGGCGCACUGGACCUCUUCUGACGCUGAGGCGCGAAAGCCAGGGGAGCAAACGGGAUUAGAUACCCCGGUAGUCCUGGCCCUAAACGAUGGGUACUAGAUAGUGGACUUGACAUGGGUUCACUGUCGAAGCAAAUGUGUUAAGUACCCCGCCUGGGGAGUAUGGUCGCAAGGCUGAAACUCAAAGGAAUUGACGGGGGCUCACACAAGCGGUGGAGCAUGUGGCUUAAUUCGAGGCUACGCGAAGAACCUUAUCCUAGGCUUGACAUGUGCGAAAGCGGUAGGAAGUAGCUGCCGGAAACGGCCAGCCAACGGUAUCCAGUCCGGAACCUACUACAGGUGCUGCAUGGCUGUCGUCAGCUCGUGUCGUGAGAUGUCGGGUUAAGUCCCAUAACGAGCGAAACCCUUGCCUCCAGUUGCCAGCGGGUCAUGCCGGGGACUCUGGAGGGACUGCCGGUGUUAAACCGGAGGAAGGUGGGGAUGACGUCAAGUCCUCAUGGCCUUUAUGCCUAGGGCUGCACACGUGCUACAAUGGUGCAUACAAAGGGACGCAAACUCGCGAGAGGGAGCAAAUCCCAAAAAAUGCACCCCAGUUCAGAUCGAAGGCUGCAACUCGCCUUCGUGAAGUUGGAAUCGCUAGUAAUCGCGGGUCAGCAACACCGCGGUGAAUGUGUUCCUGAGCCUUGUACACACCGCCCGUCAAGCCACGAAAGGGAGGGACGUCCGAAGUCGUCUUCACAGACGCCGAAGACGGACUUCCUGAUUGGGACUAAGUCGUAACAAGGUAACCGUAGGGGAACCUGUGGUUGGAUCACCUCCUU
rnacentral:rRNA from 1 species